GAUGAAGAACGUAGCGAAAUGCGAUACUUGGUGUGAAUUGCAGAAUCCCGUGAACCAUCGAGUCUUUGAACGCAAGUUGCGCCCGAAGCCACUAGGCCGAGGGCACGCCUGCCUGGGCGUCACACGCCGUUGCCCCCCCAUCUACUCCUUCGGGAUUGCGGGGGGGCGGAUGAUGGCCUCCCGUGCGCCUAGCCGCGCGGUUGGCAUAAAUACCAAGUCCUCGGCGACGCACGCCACGACAAUCGGUGGUUGCGAAACCUCGGUUGCCCGUCGUGUGCGUUCGUCGCGCAUCGAGGGCUCGAAAAAAUUGCCGGGUUCCGGCUCGGCUUUCAACGCGACCCCAGGUCAGGCGGGGUUACCCGCUGAAUUUAAGCAUAUCAAUAAGCGGAGGA
rnacentral:misc_RNA from 1 species